rnacentral:tRNA from 1 species
GCUUUAUAAGCAAAAUGAAACGCAAUCAACCUUGUAAGUUGAAAUUUAAAGGUUAAAAUCCUUUAUAAAGCU